GAGGGAGACGCGUUGUGGGAGGGUGCGCAGCAAGCCAGAGAGGACGCGAGGGGCAGGGCCUCAAGCAGGGAAAAGGCGGAGUCAGGGAGGGAGGGGGAGAGACUCUGCGUCAUAGAAAAGGGCGGGUUGAGGUGGCGCUUGCUGCUGGUUAAGACCAGACCUCUGCUGCUUUGUAGCAAACGCGCGUCUCCCGGUUUCACAAGUGGCUGACUCGUUAACCUCGUGGUUAGCUCAGUUUUUAAAAAAUAUGUAUAUUUUUAUUUUUAUUUUAUUUUUUGAGACGGAGUCUUGCUCUAGAGUCGCCCAGGCUGGAGUGCAGUGGCGCGAUCUCGGCUCACUGCAACCUCUGCCGCCCGGGUUCAAGCGAUUCUCCUGCCUCGGCCUCCGGAGUAGCCGGGAUUACAGGCACGUGCCGCCACGCCCGUCUAAUUUUUGUGUUUUUAGUAGAGACGGGGUUUCAGCAUCUUGGCUAGGCUGGUCUUGAACUCCUGACCACGUGAUCCAUCCGUCUCGGCCUCCCAAAGUGCUGGGAUUACAGGCGUGAGCCACCGCGCCCGGCCAAUAUUUUAAUUUUUUUAUUAAGAUGGAGUCUUGCUCUAUCGCCCAGGCUGGAGUGCAGUGGCGCGAUCACGGCUCACUACAACCUCCGCCUCCCGGGCUCAAGCGAUUCUCCUGCCUCAGCCUCCCGAGUAGCUGGGAUUACAGGCAUGUGCCACCAUGCCCAGACCCUGCACUUGAUGGAUCAGUUGGCACCACCCAGAUCAAUAAACUGGCUAAUAUGAGCUUGUGGCCCCCACCCAGGAACUGACUCAUUGCAAGAGGACAGCUUCAAUCCCCUAUGAUUUCAUCUCUGACCUGGCCAAUCAGCAUUCUUGACUCACCGCCCCCCGACCCCCCACCAAAUUAUCCUUUAAAACUCUGAUUCCUGAAUGCUUAGGGAGACUGAUUUGAGUAAUAAUAAAACUCCAGUCUCCUAUACAGCUGGCUCUGCAUGAAUUACUCUUUCUCUACUGCAAUUCUCCUGUCUUGAUAAAUUGGCUCUGUCUCCACAGAGCAAGGUGAAUCCACUGGGUGGUUACAUUUCUUCCAUACAAUAGCUGACUGCAUACAAUCAUUAACCAAAAUGAUCCAGGAUUGGAG
rnacentral:lncRNA from 1 species